rnacentral:rRNA from 1 species
CGCUCUGUCCAUAAAACACAUAAGGAAAUCGAUUACACCAAAAUCCAGGAGAGAAUGCGCAGGAGUCUCAAAGUGUCAGCCACCUCAUACAUUUUUAUUUCUCCACACUCACCUGAGCCGAGCAAGAUCACCCGCUGAACUUAAGCAUAUCAGUAAGCGGAGGAAAAGAAACUAACAAGGAUUGCCCCAGUAGCGGCGAGUGAACAGGCAAAAGCUCAAAUUGGAAAUCCUGCGCACAAGGCGUCGGAAUUGUAAUCUAGACGGCCAACUGCGAAGGUAUCGGCCCCCGUAUAGGUUCCUUGAAACAGGACGCCAAAGAGGGUGACAGCCCCGUACGUGGCGGAGGUACGACCGUAGCAGUGGUCUCAAAGAGUCGGGUUGUUUGGGACUGCAGCCCUAAAUGGGAGAUAAACUUCUUCUAAAGCUAAAUAUUUAUGGGAAACCGAUAGCGAACAAGUACUACGAAGGAAAGAUGAAAAGAACUUUGAAAAGAGGGUUAAAAGACUUGAAAUCGUUGAGUAGGAAGCGGUUGGAGGGUAGUCACUUGUUCUCGAUGUUGCGCUGUGCAAGCUGGCCGCCGCGGCGUGUUAAUGCACCCACAAGGGCACUCGCUGUACGCGGUAACAGAUUGCUGGCGCUUUUUCGAGGACAAAAGACAGAGCGGGCCUCUGUAGCGAGCGGGAGUAAACCUGGGAGAAGACCGGCUGCACAUGCAGUUCAGCUUCCAGGCAUAAACCGGAUUCGCGGGGCCGAGGGUAAUCCCUGCGGGGGGCUCUGUCGCGACGUCUCCAACUGGCCCGUCUGGAAACACGGACCAAGGAGUGUACCACGCGUGCGAGUGAUAGGGUGGAAAAACCCAGAUCGCGAAGAGAAAUCGAGUACAAGCAGCCAUGCCGUAGGGCAGCAGCUGCGGCCAACCCAGACUCUCCGAGGAAGGGCUUGAGCAAGAGCAGGCUUGGUACGACCCGAAAGAUGGUGAACUACGCUUGAGUACGCCGAAGCCAGGGGAAACUCUGGUGGAAGGUGGAAGCGAUACUAACGUGCAAAUUGUUCGUCAAACUUGGGUGUAGGGGCGAAAGACUAAUCGAACCAUCUAGUAGCUGGUUCCCUCUGAAGUUUCUCUCAGGAUAGCUGGAGCCGCAAUAGCAGUUUUAUCAGGUAAAGCGAAUGAUUAGAGGAUCCGGCCUGCAAAGCGGGUUGACCUAUUCUCAAACUUUAAAUUGGUAAGCUCCGUUAGUUUGCUUAAUUUGAACUGGCGGGAAGAAUGCGGGGCUCCAAGUGGGCCAUUUUUGGUAAGCAGAACUGGCGAUGAGGGAUGCUCCUUUCGCUGAGAUAAGGCGCCUAAGUUCCCGCUUAUGAGACACCACAAAAGAUGUUGGUUCAUUAAGACAGCAGGACGGUGGCCCUGGAAGUCGGAACCCGCUAAGGAGUGUGUAACAACUCACCUGCCGAAUGAACUAGCUCUGAAAAUUUAUGGCGCUCAGCGGGACGCCGAUACUCAGCCAUCGCGUACAACAUCGACAAAUGCGAGGUCGCGAUGAGUAAGAGGGCGUGGACGUGCUGUACAGAAGACCAGGGCGUGAGCCCGGUUGGAACCGCGUCCAGUGCAGAUCUUGGUGGUAGUAGCAAAUAUUCAAAUGAGAACUUUGAAGACCGAAGUGGGGAAGGGUUCCGCGAGAACAGCAAUUGGUCGCGGGUUAGUCGGUCCUAAGGCUAGGGCUAACGCCGAAAGCAUGGAGAGGUCUCGUGUCUCUCCGCUGCCGAAAGGGAAAGCGGUUAACAUCCCGCUACCUGACGUCGGGUAAUGUGCGGUAACGCAAGCAAACCCGCAGACGUCGGCAUGUGUCACUGGAAGAGUUAUCUUUUCUUUUUAACUGGUCAUGGCCCUGGAACUGGAUUAUCCAGAGAUAGGGCCGUACGCCAGGCAGAGCAGUUCACUCUACGAGCUGUCAGUUGCGCACAUGACGACCAAUGAAAAUGCGGGGGCGAGAUUUAUUUCGACGCAGGCCGUACCCAUAACCGCAUCAGGUCUCCAAGGUGAGCAGCCUCUGGUCGAUAGAAGAAUGUAGAUAAGGGAAGUCGGCAAAAUAGAUCUGUAACUUCGGGAAAAGGAUUGGCUCUGAGGAUGUGGUGUCGGGGCCCUCUAGUGAAUGCCGAGCUGCCGGUAUGAGUGAUUGGCAACUUUUGUUCAUUCGGCGGCGAAAGCACGAUCUUCUGGGACGCUUUCAUCGGCUGACCCGGCAUAACGAAACAUCGACUCAGAACUGAAGCGGACAAGGGGAAUCCGACUGUUUAAUAAAAACAUAGCUUUGCGAUGGCGCUAACGCGUGUUGACGCAAAGUGAUUUCUGCCCAGUGCUUUGAAUGUCAAAGUGAAGAAAUUCAACCAAGCGCAGGUAAACGGCGGGAGUAACUAUGACUCUCUUAAGGUAGCCAAAUGCCUCGUCAUCUAAUUAGUGACGCGAAUGAAUGGAUCACUGAGAUUCCCACUGUCCCUAUCUACUAUCUAGCGAACCCACAGCCAAGGGAACGGGCUUGGCGAAGUUAGCGGGGAAAGAAGACCCUGUUGAGCUUGACUCUAGUCCGACUUUGUGAAAUGGCAUACGAGGUAUAGCCUAGGUGGGAGAGAAAUCGAGCCUGUAAAACCACUACUCGUACUGUCAUUUUACUUAUUCCGUGAGGAAGGGUCCGGAUUCAACUCCGGUUCUAGCCUUAACGUAGCGCGUAUGCGUUGCGGACCUUUGCGGAAGACAUGGUCAGGUGGGGAGUUUGGCUGGGGCGGCAUACCUGUUAAACAGUAACGCAGGUGUCCUACGGUGAGCUCAAAGAGAACAGAAAUCUCUUGUUGACCAAAAGGGGAAAAGCUCACUUGAUUUUGGUUUCCAGUAUCAACACAAACGGUGAAAGCGUGGCCUAUCGAUCCUUUAACUUUACAAGUUUUAAGCUAGAGGUGUCAGAAAAGUUACCACAGGGAUAACUGGCUUGUGGCAGCCAAGCGAUCAUAGCGACGUUGCUUUUUGACUCUUCGAUGUCGGCUCUUCCUAUCAUUGUCGAAGCAGAAUUCGCAAAGUGUCGGAUUGUUCACCCGCAAAUAGGGAACGUGAGCUGGGUUUAGACCGUCGUGAGACAGGUUAGUUUUACCCUACUAACGAAUCGAUAUUGCUACAGUAAUUCAACUUAGUACGAGAGGAACAGUUGAAUCAGAUAAUUGGUAAAUACGGUUGGCUGAACAGCCAAUGCCGUGAAGCUACCAUCUGUAGGAUAAUGACUGAACGCCUCUAAGUCAGAAUCCAUGCUGGAAUGCAAUGUCCAAUCAAUAAUAAACGAAAAAAUU